UACGUAGGGUGCAAGCGUUGUCCGGAAUUACUGGGCGUAAAGAGCUCGUAGGCGGUUUUGUCGCGUCGUCUGGUGAAAUCCCGCAGCUCAACUGCGGGCUUGCAGGCGAUACGGGCAGACUUGAGUACUGCAGGGGAGACUGGAAUUCCUGGUGUAGCGGUGAAAUGCGCAGAUAUCAGGAGGAACACCGGUGGCGAAGGCGGGGUCUCUGGGGCAGUAACUGACGCUGAGGAGCGAAAGCGUGGGUAGCGAACAGG
rnacentral:rRNA from 1 species